UACGAAGGUGGCUAGCGUUGCUCGGAAUUACUGGGCGUAAAGCGCACGUAGGCGGAUUGUUAAGUCGGGGGUGAAAUCCUGGAGCUCAACUCCAGAACUGCCUUCGAUACUGGCGAUCUCGAGUUCGGGAGAGGUGAGUGGAACUGCGAGUGUAGAGGUGAAAUUCGUAGAUAUUCGCAAGAACACCAGUGGCGAAGGCGGCUCACUGGCCCGAUACUGACGCUGAGGUGCGAAAGCGUGGGGAGCAAACAGG
rnacentral:rRNA from 1 species